rnacentral:rRNA from 1 species
GUCUCAAAGAUUAAGCCAUGCAUGUCUAAGUACAGGCCUAAGUAAGGCGAAACCGCGAAUGGCUCAUUAAAUCAGUUAUGGUUCAUUGGAUCUUACCCUUUCUUACUUGGAUAACUGUGGUAAUUCUAGAGCUAAUACAUGCCAACCAGUAGCUCCGACACACUCCCGUGUGGAAGAGCGCUUUUAUUAGAUCAAAACCAGUCCUCCCUCGGGAGGUCAAACCCCUUCGUGGUGACUCUGAAUAACUUUUAGCUGAGCGCACGGUCUCCGCGCCGGCGCCGCAUCUUUCAAGUGUCUGCCUUAUCAGCUUUCGAUUGUAGGUUAUGCGCCUACAAUGGCUAUAACGGGUAACGGGGAAUCAGGGUUCGAUUCCGGAGAGGGAGCCUGAGAAACGGCUACCACAUCUAAGGAAGGCAGCAGGCUCGAAAAUUACCCAAUCCCGACUCGGGGAGGUAGUGACAAGAAAUAACGAUACGGGGUCUUAAUAGGUCUCGCAAUUGGAAUGAGUACAAUUUAAAUCCUUUAACGAGGAUCAAUUGGAGGGCAAGUCUGGUG